UGAGGGAGCGGAGUUACCACUUGUGCUUAGGGUUAGGGAGGCAACAGUGAGGGGCUGAGUUAGUUAAUUAGUUAGGUGAUGGUGGCUUUCACGGUGUUGUUCUGCAUGCAGGUGCCUUUGAGUUUCACUAAAAAGAUGGUGGAGAAAUUGAGGGUAGUGUCAAGCCAUAGGCGUUGUUUGAAGCAAGAUGCCUCUUUAAUACACCUGAGCUUCCCUUGAAGCAAGCGGGCAAGCAGCGGGAAGCCGUGUCCAUCCCUCUCCAGUGCUCAGUUGUCAAAGUAAAUGGAAUGCGGGGAUCCACUCACUGUCUGCCCUUAAAGAAAAAACUUUUUGGAUUUGGGUCCGUUGCUAGGUGUGACCAUAAGUUUGUCCUUGGAUUAUAACCAAGGGGAGUCUUCCUGGAAGGAAAGCUACCUGCAUCUGACUUACUUGAGUUUGGCCCUGGCGUGA